rnacentral:rRNA from 1 species
GAUUAACGCUAGCGGCAGGCAUAAUACAUGCAAGUUGAACGAGAUUAGUUUUAGCAAUAGAACUAGUUUAGUGGCGCACGGGUGCGUAACGCGUAUGCAACCUACCUUAAACAGGGGAAUAGCCUCUCGAAAGAGAGAUUAAUACCGCAUAACAUAUAUUUAGAGCAUUCUAGAUAUAUCAAACCUACGGGGGUUUAAGAUGGGCAUGCGUGACAUUAGCUAGUUGGUGAGGUAACGGCUCACCAAGGCAACGAUGUCUAGGGGGUCUGAGAGGGAGAUCCCCCACACUGGUACUGAGACACGGACCAGACUCCUACGGGAGGCAGCAGUGAGGAAUAUUGGACAAUGGGCGCAAGCCUGAUCCAGCCAUGCCGCGUGCAGGAGAAGCAUCUAUGGUGUGUAAACUGCUUUUGUACGGGAAGAAACACUCCUUCGUGAAGGAGCUUGACGGUACCGUAAGAAUAAGGAUCGGCUAACUCCGUGCCAG